rnacentral:tRNA from 1 species
CGGAGUCGAUGAGGUCUGCGAGCGGUUCGGGAUGACGAGCGAGCUGGAUUGGUGCCGGGAGUCCAAGC